GAUGAACGCUGGCGGCGUGCCUAAUACAUGCAAGUCGAGCGAACAGACGAGGAGCUUGCUCCUCUGACGUUAGCGGCGGACGUGUGAGUAACACGUGGAUAACCUACCUAUAAGACUGGGAUAACUUCGGGAAACCGGAGCUAAUACCGGAUAAUAUAUUGAACCGCAUGGUUCAAUAGUGAAAGACGGUUUUGCGGUCACUUAUAGAUGGAUCCGCGCCGCAUUAGCUAGUUGGUAAGGUAACGGCUUACCACGGCAACGAUGCGUAGCCGACCUGAGAGGGUGAUCGGCGACACUGGAAGUGAGACGCGGGCCAGACGCUGACGGGAGGCAGCAGUAGCGAAUCUUCCGCAAUGGGCGAAAGCUUGACGGAGGAACGCAGCGUGAGUGAUGAAGGUCUGCGGGUCGUAAAACGCUGUUCUUGGGGAAGAACAAAUGUGUAAGUAACUAUGCACGUCUGGACGGUACCGAAACAGAAAGCCACGGCAAACUACGG
rnacentral:rRNA from 1 species